rnacentral:rRNA from 1 species
UACGGGGGGAGCAAGCGUUGUUCGGAUUUACUGGGCGUAAAGGGCGCGUAGGCGGCCACCGCAAGUCGGUUGUGAAAUCUCUGGGCUUAACCCAGAAAGGUCAACCGAUACUGCGGGGCUAGAGUGCAGAAGGGGCAACUGGAAUUCUCGGUGUAGCGGUGAAAUGCGUAGAUAUCGAGAGGAACACCUGCGGCGAAGGCGGCUCACUGGCCCGAUACUGACGCUGAGGCACGAAAGCGUGGGGAGCAAACAGG